rnacentral:rRNA from 2 species
UGCAAGUCGAGCGAACAGAUGAGAAGCUUGCUUCUCUGAUGUUAGCGGCGGACGGGUGAGUAACACGUGGGUAACCUACCUAUAAGACUGGGAUAACUCCGGGAAACCGGGGCUAAUACCGGAUAAUAUUUUGAACCGCAUGGUUCAAUAGUGAAAGACGGUUUCGGCUGUCACUUAUAGAUGGACCCGCGCCGUAUUAGCUAGUUGGUAAGGUAACGGCUUACCAAGGCGACGAUACGUAGCCGACCUGAGAGGGUGAUCGGCCACACUGGAACUGAGACACGGUCCAGACUCCUACGGGAGGCAGCAGUAGGGAAUCUUCCGCAAUGGGCGAAAGCCUGACGGAGCAACGCCGCGUGAGUGAUGAAGGUCUUCGGAUCGUAAAACUCUGUUGUUAGGGAAGAACAAAUUUGUUAGUAACUGAACAAGUCUUGACGGUACCUAACCAGAAAGCCACGGCUAACUACGUGCCAGCAGCCGCGGUAAUACGUAGGUGGCAAGCGUUAUCCGGAAUUAUUGGGCGUAAAGCGCGCGUAGGCGGUUUCUUAAGUCUGAUGUGAAAGCCCACGGCUCAACCGUGGAGGGUCAUUGGAAACUGGGAAACUUGAGUGCAGAAGAGGAGAGUGGAAUUCCAUGUGUAGCGGUGAAAUGCGCAGAGAUAUGGAGGAACACCAGUGGCGAAGGCGGCUCUCUGGUCUGUAACUGACGCUGAUGUGC